ensembl:lincRNA
GGAAAAGGGCCGGCUUCCCCAUGUUGUCUUCAUUUCCUUUCUUCUCUUAGGAAACACCUCUGAAUGGCCCCACUGCUUCAUAACAGUGCCAUGUGUUUGGGACCAAGAUUUGAACAUACGUGCUUUUGGGAGACUUUAAACUAUGGCACCUGGAUAACUGGAACUACAGAAAGUAAAACCUCAGUUUUGGAUGGAAUUGUGGUUACUUCUACUUUCGUGGUCAACUCUGCCUUUGGAUCGCCUUGCACCCAAGGAGCAUGCCCAGAGGAUGUAAACGAGAGCUCUAGGCCUUUGCCUGGCUGAAUGCACAGGGCCCUCGGCUGAUGCUGGCGCAUGCGCUUUUCACUUCCCUGGCCUGGAGAAUUCUGCAAGGUCCACAGAUUAGCGGCGGCCAGGAAGUCAAAGGCUGAAAGGAUGGUUGACUGGCUCAGUGAAUGAAGCUCUGGACAUUACAUUAUCUCUGGCUCGGAGCAUACGGAAUCAGUCCUGCAGCUAUCAAAGGGGCGGGGAGAGAAUCUUCCACAAGCUUGGCUUGGCCGAUCUGUGUGUGCUGAACCAAAAAGCAAACUGAACAAAGACAUCUAAAUUUACAGCUCCAGUUAAAGACCUGGGAGGCUUAUCCAGUAUAGAGAAAGCACCAUUGAAAUUCACUUCUCUGCACAGUUUAGUGAGUGUUUAUUCCAGAAUAUAAAAAUAUUUUAUAUAUGUCUAUCUUUAUCUCUCUUAACCUCUAUAAACCUAUAUAUCACGAUAUGUAUUUAUAGAUUUAUUCUUGUGCCCCAACUUGACUGGU